rnacentral:rRNA from 1 species
AAACCGACACUGGUGGACAAGGACAAAUAUCCUGAGGCGCUCGAGUGAUCCCUCGUUAAGGAACUCGGCAAAAUGACCCCGUAACUUCGGGAGAAGGGGUGCCGGUACUUGAUACCGGCCGCAGAGAAUAGUUCCAGGCGACUGUUUACCAAAAACACAGGGCUCUGCAAAGCAGCAAUGCGAAGUAUAGGGCCUGAAACCUGCCCGGUGCUGGAAGGUUAAGGAAGGAUGUUAGCUUCGGCAAAGCGUCCGACUGAAGCCCCAGUAAACGGCGGCCGUAACAAUAACGGUCCUAAGGUAGCGAAAUUCCUUGUCGGGUAAGUUCCGACCUGCACGAAUGGUUUAACGAUCUGGAAGCUGUCUCAACGAGGGGCUCGGUGAAAUUGAAAUACCGGUGAAGAUGCCGGUUACUCGCGGAAGGACGGAAAGACCCCGUGAACCUUUACUACAACUUGGCAUUGAAAUUUGGUAUAAUAUGUGUAGGAUAGUUGGGAGACUGUGAAGCGGGUACGCUAGUACUCGUGGAGUCGUCGUUGAAAUACCAACCUUAUUCUAUUAGAUUUCUAACCCCACACCGUUAUCCGGGUGGGAGACAAUGUCUGGUGGGUAGUUUGACUGGGGCGGUCGCUUCCUAAAUAGUAACGGAGGCUCGCAAUGGUUCCCUCAGCACGGUCGGUAAUCGUGCGUAGAGUGUAAAGGCUAAAGGGAGCCUAACUGCAAGAGAGACAACUCGAGCAGGUACGAAAGUAGGUCUUAGUGAUCCGGCGGUGUCAUGUGGAAGUGCCGUCGCUCAAAGGAUAAAAGGUACUCCGGGGAUAACAGGCUGAUUCCGCCCAAGAGUUCAUAUCGACGGCGGAGUUUGGCACCUGAUGUCGGCUCAUCGCAUCCUGGGGCUGAAGCAGGUCCCAAGGGUUUGGCUGUUCGCCAAUUAAAGCGGUACGCGAGCUGGGUUCAGAACGUCGCGAGACAGUUCGGUCCCUAUCCUCCGCGAGCGUUGGAAUUUUGAGGAGAUCUGUCCUUAGUACGAGAGGACCGGGAUGGACGAACCUCUAGUGUAUCAGUUGUCGUGCCAACGGCAUUGCUGAGUAGCUAUGUUCGGAAGGGAUAACCGCUGAAGGCAUCUAAGCGGGAAGCCUACUCCAAGACUAGAAUUCCCUCAGGUUUAACCUGACUAAGAUCCGUCGAAGAAUACGACGUUGAUAGGCUGCAGGUAUAAGUACAGUAAUGUAUUCAGCCGAGCAGUACUAAUAGAUCGUGCGGCUUGACC